UUAUUAAAAUCACCUAGCUGAUAUGAGUAAAACUAACCAAUAAUGCACACAAAAUUGCAUUGUAUUUCUCCAACCUUAAUUGUACAUAGCAUUUCAACAAACUCAAAACAAUAAGCUGAAUAUUGCUUCUAUCAGCAUAACAAAUUGCUACCCCUUUCAGUCAACAGGGCAACCUGAAUAUCAGAGCUUCACAGUCAAAAAAAUGAUUUGAAAAUCACCCAUCAAUCUAAUCACGAAUCUCAAAUCAGUGACUCGUCUGUUUUAAAUUCUGUUCUAUUCAGGUCCAUUUUAUUCCAGUACUAAAUAAUUUAUCUUUUACGGAAUAUUAUAUAUUCCCUACUUAAAAUAAACAUUAGAGAUUCCCUUAAAGUAGAGUUUUUCUAAAUCUCGUACAUAUCCUUAUUCGAAGAGAUGAGUCUCUAACAACAAAAAGAGAUUUCUAGCGAACACUUGACCAGAUAUAAGUCUAACAACGCAUAUACGGAUUCUUUGCUUUGAUUGUAUGAUCUUUUGGGCUAAAUCCAUAUUAAUUUCGAGAUUUGCAGGUCCUUUUACUAAUCCUUUCUUCCAUAUAGUUUUAGGUUUUCAUUGUCUUCUUUUAGCACUUUCAAUCAUCAGGUUGUAGCACAUCAGUCUGACUAGUGCAUAUGGAGUUCUACUUAGGAGAUGGAAAAAAUGACCUCAUCUUAUCCUCUAUGUUUGCUACUUACAUCCUUUGUAAGACGUGAUAAUUUUAAUGUUAUAUGACCUCGUAUGACCGCACAUCCAUAUCUUACAUAUGCAUUUUUAUAAAAUUUGGUGUUAUUUAUCUUGUGGAUACAGAUGGCUUUAAAAUUCCAACACUCAUUCCCAUAUAAGGUUGUUGAUCUCACAGCCAUUGCAUAGAACAUGUGUUUCACUUUGUUAGGCAUCCGCAUAGAUCAUAACUCUCUUAAAACUCCUCCAUGUAACGAUCCUCUUUUAAUUUGUGUUGCGUCUUCAUCUAUCACAUCUGUCAGCGCUUCUUCCAUUUUCUUUAGCCGAGGGUCUAUCGGAAACAGUCUCUGUCUCUCUGCUCUCCCGGGGUAGGGGUAAGGCUGCGUACAUCCUACCCUCCUCAGACCCCAUUUGUGGGAUUUUCUUGUGGGAUUUUCACUGGGUUGUUGUUGUUGUUGUUGCUGUCUUCAUCUAUCACAUCAUUCUACUCACAUAUGAUCCUAAAUAUUUGAAUUGUCUACAUUUAUGCACCAUUAUAUCAUCUGAUCUCAUCUCACUGCUAUUAUUAUAACUAGCAGCUCGUCUUAUUUUUACUUAUCAUAAAACUAGAGUGCUUCUCCCAGUUCCCACUUUUAAUUGACCUACUCGCUAAUUUCACUAAUUAAGAUGUUAAAAUCAUCUACAAAUAGCAUGCGUCAUGGAACCUUUCUUCAGCUUAUCCAUAAUUGGCCUACAAUAGUACAUGCGGAUCCCUAGAGUAAACUACUUGGGUACUGAUUUGUAUCUCGUCUCAUUAUUCACACUUAUGCUACUCUAUUUUUGAAAUUGUCUACCAACCUUGAACCCCUGAACUAGUAGUUUGGAGAGACUCCCCAACCACUAUGAACAAGGAUGGCUGGUCAUAUGCCACUCCUCUGUACAUUUCAUUUGUGACGUUUAUAUAUUUUAUUUGAAUUCACUUCUUUUAAAUCCUCAAAGAACCAUUUUUUCUCAUCCUAAGAAUUUCAAACAAUAUUCUUAACAAAAAUAUAAACUCUCUUGUAGAUCUAACAGGCAUAAAUCCAAAUGAGUUCUCUGUCAUCCUUGUAAAUAUUAGAAUCCUUAUGCAAUAAAACAAAACUAAGAAGUAGGUAUCUCAGUUGCCUAAACAAAUCUUUGGCAAAAUAUUCAUGAAACAUAUGGUAAAUAAAUGAGCAUAAAAAA